rnacentral:rRNA from 1 species
UACGAAGGGUGCAAGCGUUACUCGGAAUUACUGGGCGUAAAGCGUGCGUAGGCGGUGUGUUAAGUCUGAUGUGAAGGCCCUGGGCUCAACCUGGGAAUGGCAUUGGAUACUGGCAGGCUAGAGUGUGGCAGAGGGUAGUGGAAUUCCUGGUGUAGCAGUGAAAUGCGUAGAGAUCAGGAGGAACAUCCGUGGCGAAGGCGACUGCCUGGGCCAACACUGACACUGAGGCACGAAAGCGUGGGGAGCAAACAGGAUUAGAUACCCUGGUAGUCCACGCCCUAGACGAUGCGAACUGGAUGUUGGGUGCGAUUUGGCACGCAGUAUCGAAGCUAACGCGUUAAGUUCGCCGCCUGGGGAGUACGGUCGCAAGACUGAA